CCCCAUCAGUCCUGAGUGUUUCCACCUGUGUCUUGUUGCCUUGUAUGUAUUUAAGUCCUGUCUUUCCCUUCCUCCUGUGCUGGUCCAUAUUGUAUUCUUCCCCGGUUUUUCGAGCUGAGUGUUUUUGUAGUGUUUCGAGAUUCUAGCCUGCCGUAUGCAGUGGUUUUGUUUUUGUCUUUAGUUUAUGUUAUUAAACCCUAUUCCCUGCAUCCUCCUGCCUCCUCUCCUCUCUGCGCCUGGGUACUUCCCAUUCCCCCCGUGACACGCUGAAAGAAUUGUAGGAAGUUAUGCAAGGAUUUCAUCAAGUUGAGAAAGUGAAAUUCCCUCCAGACGUCACUCUAUCUGACAUCAGGAAUACUUUAUGAAAGACAAAGAAACAGUUUUUACGGUUACCACUGUUGUUUUAGUCUUUGUUGCUUUGUUGCUAUGUGACUUUUAUGUGAUGGGCAGUGGUUAGACUUAGCUUGGAGCCAGUCUAAAAUGGAGAAGUGAGACGACUCCUUCCCUCCACUAGUCUGAGGGUUCACCUUAGGCAAGUGAUAGCACCCUCUAGCCUCCCUACCUAGGGUCACAGGUUCAGGCGUUGGCAGCAGGAUGUCUCGUGGUGGAAAUGGCAGAUGAGCCAAAAGUCAAUGGCGUUAACACCUGAUGGCAUGCUGGUGAGCCUCAAAAAGCUGAGGCCAAAGGAUGGCAUCAGCUAGUAAGUGUUUUGGUCCUGCGGGGCGACCUCUUCGUCAGCAAUGUACGUUGCACACUUGUGUACCACAUUGUAUGUGCCGUUUGAGGACCAGAGAGGCAGUCUGGUGGAGGCACAACACCAACUGGCUUUGGUUUUGUGCAAGUUGUUUUGGGUUUUGAGGGUUUUGAUUGUUUUGAGUGUUAAGACUUGUGGCGAUAGAGUACAUGUGUCGACAGCAGGCCUAAGUAGCUGGGAGCUGUUAGCAGAAUGUCUGCACGCAGGCAGCUCACCUAGAAAAGGUGGGGUAAAAAAAGUGUACUCAGAUCCAUACCUGGCUGGCUAACCACAUUCAGCUGGACUUCCUUUAAUGCAGUAGAACCUCAAAAUCGAAGAAGAUGACUGUCGCAACAUUGAACAAACGAAUUAUGCUAGAUAAUGAUAACCGACCUGAACGUAUAACAGCUCUGAUUGCAAAGGAACCUUAAGCAGCAUUGAGAGAGUAGCCCUACAGGAGACAUGUCUUGAGGCUCAGGGACAGCUCCACGAAACAGAGUACACUUUCUUCUGGGUUGGUAAGACCACAGCACCUAGAGAAGCUGGAGUUGCCUUCGCAAUCCACAACACAAUUGCUAAGAAGUUAGUAUUACUACCCACAGCAAUUUCCCCUAGACUUAAGUCUCUAAGAGUCCCUAUUGAGAAAGGUUGCUAUUUAACUCUGGUGAACGUGUAUGCCCCAACUAUGACUUACACUGAUGACGAAAAAGAAACAUUCUACCAAGAACUUACUCAUGUAAUCCUCAAAGUUCCCAAAGAAGACAAGCUCCUGAUAUUAGGUGACUUCAAUGCUCGAGUUGUAACAUACUUAGGAAACCUACUUGGGUGUCAUUGGCAAAUUUGGAAAGAUGAAAAAGAACUCCAAUGGAGAUUUUCUUCAAACCUUUGUGCUCAACUUAACCUAACCAUCACCAACACAUUCUUCUAUCAGCCCGAUAAGAAUUUCUUCACAUGGAAGCACCCUCGCUCAGGUCACUUCCACUUGCUUGACUGUGUCAUUACCAGAAAAUCAGACUUAGCAGAUGUAUGUAUGUACAAAGGCAAUGCGUGGACCAGAGUGCUCUACUCGCCAUUACCUUGCGAGAUGUCAACUUAGAAUGAAAAUUGUGUUACCUCGUAGAAAAACUUCUGCAAGUACCAAGCCCAAGAAACUGGAUACCAAUAAGCUGCUAAACAAAACGUGUUGUGAUAAGCUAUGAAAGAAAAAUUGUAGCUGCUCUGGAGAAUGUAAAUUUGACUAGAGAGAUGGAUAUUGAACAGCACUGGAAAGAUUUGAAAGAAACAGUUUAUUCUACAAGUAUGAACACCCUAGGUCCCGUUUAAGGAAAGGCUCAGUUUUGGUUUUGUGAACAUGGUGGUGAAAUCGAGAAACUCCUGGAGGAAAAGAAGCGUAUACAUCUUAGACAUCUACAUAAGAAAUUCUAAGAGCAAGAGUGCACCUUCUGAAAUCAAGACUAAGGAACAGAAGGAGCUGAAACAUUUUGAAAAACAACUGGUGGCAGAAGAAAGCAGAGGAAUUGCAGAGCAUGGCUGAUAAUCAUAAUUAUCAUGGACUGUUUGCCGGUCUGAAGUCUCUCUAUGGCCCAAGAAGCACCGCUGUUGCACCAGUAAGAUCAGCAGAUGGAAGUAAGCUGACAUGGUGCCUCUGCCAGCUACUCUCCCCCUCUCCCGUCUGCUCUGUUCUGGACGCGACCAGCUGCCACCACUUACCUCAUCACCGCUGCCUUCUUAAGGAUCUUCUGAAUCUUCAGUCGGUGCCAGUUCGUUUUACCUCCCACGGUGCUUAGUCAGGCUCGCUCAUGUUCUUGUUCUGUUUACCAAGUUCUGUGUUACUUAUUGCUCCUCUCGUCUUUGCCUCAGGAAUAAUCUACUCUGGAUCUCACCUGGUCACAGUCCUCUGGUUCCACGCCGUCUCACCUCUGGAAUCCUGCAACUGCUUUCCUCCAGCCAGCCGCCGCGCCUCUGUUGGAAAUAAGCCAAAACUCACCUUCCAAUAUAAAAACUUCUAAACUCACCUUAAUGUCCGAGUCUCCUUCUGGGUUACAGCAUCUGGGUCACUCCCAAUUAUAGUCAUACCAUGACAUAAGCUAUUCACAGAUCUUCAAGACAUCAGAUCCAGAUGGAAGGAGCACUUUUAUAAGCUGCUAAAUCAAGAAGAUGCAGUAAAGUCAAAUGCAUGUCAGAACCUGGAAAAUAAACCAAAAAAGAACGAACUGUGUAGCCGUAGACAAUUCAGUAUGGAAGAACUCAAGUACCCUCUGAAAUCAACAGCAAGUGGUAAAACACCUGGUCUUGAUGGCAUCCCAUCAGAGAUUCUGAAAUAUGGUGGCGAGAAGUUGUGUGAAUCUCUGUAAGAUCUACUUAACAGAUAUCUUAUCUCUGGUACUGUGCCACAAGACUUCCGAGAUGCUUUAAUUAUCACCAUCUACAAAAGAAAGGGCGACUGUGCAGAUUGCGGAAACCAUCGGGGUAAAUCUACUACUGGCCAUUGCUGGAACUGUGCUUGCAAAGAUUGUCCUGAAUAGAUUAAAGAUCAUUGGUAAGGAAGUACUUCCUGAGUCUCAGUGUGGUUUUCGGGCUGGUCGUUCCACUUUAGACAUGAGUUUCACUCUGAGACAGCUGCAAGAGAAGGCAGCAGAGCAGCACCAACAACUUUAUAUAGUCUUUGUAGAUUUUACAAAGGCUUUCGAUACAGUCAAUCGUACAACUCUAUGGAAGGUCCUUGAAACCUAUGGUUGCCCAGACAAGCGUGUCAGCAUUAUUAGGCAAUUUCACGAUGGAAUGAGGGCACAGGUUUUAGUUGGUAGUGAACACAGUGACACCUUUCUGGUUAACACUGGUGUGAAGCAAGGCUGUGUACUGGGACCAACUUUCUUCUCUCUUUAUCUUACAGCUGUACUGGAGACUAUGAAAGAAGGCCCAAACAAGGGUGUCUUCAUCCGCACAAGAACUGAUGACGUCAUCAAGUUUGGCCCAUCACCCUGAAUAAAGCAAGCGUGGAUACACGCAUCCUCUCAGUGAAACCCAGGAUUCUGUUUCCUCUGGGUUUAUUGGACGGCUCCCCUCAGGACGGAGUACAGAGGACCAUUCUUCUGUCCUGGAUUUCUGCUGCUUUUCAUUUUGAAGUCAAAACUCAAGGCUCCAUGUUGAUUAAGACUUUAAACAGUUUCUUCCAUGUUCUCUCUUAUGGUGCCAGGUUCCCUAGUGAAGUUCAGGUUUCCUUAGCUUUUUUGGUUCUGUUAUCUCUGAAUUCAGUAAAUAUCACUGCUGAGAUGGGUUUGGGUCGUGGUCUCCUAAACACGAUGUUAGAGUGUUUUUGCGAAAUACUUUUUCAUUAUUUUUUGCCAGUUCUUACCCCAACUAGGGUGAGGGUUGUGAUGCAUGGUGCUUGCUUGACUCCGACCACUAGGGGGAGUCUGUUUAGUAUGGUUCAGUUGUUGCAUGUAUUUAGAAGAGAAUGAACAAGGGGGAAUAAACAGAGACACGGAUCUGGAUAAACUGGCCUCCCUGUGUUUUGAAUAUCAGAUUGAACACCAUUACACUAAACCUACUUGU